CUCCAUGAAGCUGGAUUCGCUAGUAAUCGCGCAUCAGCCACGGCGCGGUGAAUACGUUCCCGGGCCUUGUACACACCGCCCGUCAAGCCAUGGAAGCCGGGGGUGCCUGAAGUGCGCUGCCGCAAGGAGCGUCCUAGGGUAAAACCGGUGACUGGGGCUAAGUCGUAACAAGGUAUC
rnacentral:rRNA from 1 species